CUGGGAUUAGAUACCCCACUAUGCCUAGCCGUUAACAAAGGUGUAUUAAUUACAUACUACACCCGCCAGAGAAUUACGAGCCACCGCUUAAAACUCAAAGGACUUGACGGUACUUCGCACCCACCUAGAGGAGCCUGUCCUAUAAUCGACAACACUCGAUACACCCUACCAACUUUUGCCUUAAACUACAUAACAGCCUGUAUACCGCCGUCGCAAACUAACCCCCUGAGGGACGAACAGUUAAGUGCAACAGCUCAUUUGAGCUAAUACGUCAGGUCAAGGUGCAGCCAAUAAGUUGGAAGAGAUGGGCUACAUUUUCUACCUCAUAGAAAUAUGUCACGGAGAGCCCUGUGAAACCAAGGCUGUCAAAGUUGAAUUUAGCAGUAAAUUGGGAGAAGAGUGCCCAGUUGAAGAUGGCCCCGAAGUACGUACACACCGCCCGUCACCCUCUUCGAAUUAUAUAUACACUGUUACAUAACACUACAACAGCCGAUGAGACGAGGAAAGUCGUAACAAGGUAAGCGUACCGGAAGGUGCGCUUGGAACA
rnacentral:rRNA from 1 species